UACGGAGGGGGCUAGCGUUGUUCGGAAUUACUGGGCGUAAAGCGCACGUAGGCGGCUUUGCAAGUUAGAGGUGAAAGCCCGGGGCUCAACUCCGGAAUUGCCUUUAAGACUGCAUCGCUAGAAUUGUGGAGAGGUAAGUGGAAUUCCGAGUGUAGAGGUGAAAUUCGUGGAUAUUCGGAAGAACACCAGUGGCGAAGGCGGCUCACUGGCCCGAUACUGACGCUGAGGCACGAAAGCGUGGGGAGCAAACAGG
rnacentral:rRNA from 1 species